rnacentral:rRNA from 1 species
GACGAACGCUGGCGGCGUGCCUAAUACAUGCAAGUUGAGCGCUGAAGGUUGGUCCUUGUACCAACUGGAUGAGCAGCGAACGGGUGAGUAACGCGUGGGGAAUCUGCCUUUGAGCGGGGGACAACAUUUGGAAACGAAUGCUAAUACCGCAUAAAAACUUUAAACACAAGUUUUAAGUUUGAAAGAUGCAAUUGCAUCGCUCAAAGAUGAUCCCGCGUUGUAUUAGCUAGUUGGUGAGGUAAAGGCUCACCAAGGCGAUGAUACAUAGCCGACCUGAGAGGGUGGUCGGCCACAUUGGGACUGAGACACGGCCCAAACUCCUACGGGAGGCAGCAGUAGGGAAUCUUCGGCAAUAGACGAAAGUCUGACCGAGCAACGCCGCGUGAGUGAAGAAGGUUUUCGGAUCGUAAAACUCUGUUGGUAGAGAAGAACGUUGGUGAGAGUGGAAAGCUCAUCAAGUGACGGUAACUACCCAGAAAGGGACGGCUAACUACGUG